rnacentral:lncRNA from 1 species
GGAGUUCACAGUUCAAGAGGUCCCGGGUCACACUAAGGCCCGGGGCGGGGCGGGAGGGGACGGCGGCCGAGCGCAGCCUCUUGGGGUCCUGCGGCUGGGACGCAGCGGAGCUGAGAUGCAGCCCUAGCUUGGGCGCGCUGACCCUUCUCGGCGCUGCGCGUUUCCGCCCGCGCGCCCCGGGGCAACGCAGGAGAGUCACUGAGGCGCCCAGUUUCACCGCCCGCGGGCGGGGCGGAGACGGUCGAGCCGAGGCGGACAGGUCUGGGCUUCCUGUUUUAUGUUGUAAAGUCACGUGGGUUUUGGAUUUUGUUGUCCCAUGAUAUAACUACGAUUAAUCGAGUGAAAUUUACGCUCCAUGAAGAUGUGUCGCGUAUUUUCUGUGGCUUUUUGUACCUCCCUCCAUUCCCAUUAGUCUGUAUACUAGAACUUAGUAGAACGGCCACCUUGCUAUCUCGCUCUAAAUCCAUCUCUUUGGGUUCUCUGAAUCAUUAACCGCUUUAAACCCCAACUUUCCAGAGACCUUUAUUGUGUCGGACAGCAAAGCGCUUGUGUGAGGUGCUGGUAAUAUCUAGAGGAAAACAGUUACAGCCUCUGUCCAGCUGCCCACGCCUGGCGAAAGGAGGUUGUGCUGAGUUCAUCCUAAGGGUUAGGGUUUUCUCCCCGGUACCCUCUGGGCAGAGGAUGAUCCUCUCAACUACACCUCCUAGGAGCCAGUCUGUAGUAGAGAAUGUGAGAGGUUUUUUUAAACAGGGCCCUUUUCAAGGUUACAAAUUGCCCCAAACUUAAACUUGAAACUUAGAAGAUGAGGGUCUGCCACCUGUUUAGCCCUGUCUUAGCCAUUCUUCUCUUUAUUCAGUAACCUUGAUGAAAGUGAAAAUGUUUUAUUUCUUGAUUAGAUCAACAAAGCUUGACAAAAGCCCGCUAUGUACAAGCAUAAAAAUCUAUAACAGUGUUGGGUGUAGACAUAACUCAUUUUAUUAAAACUAGCCAUUAAAAUAGCUUCAUAAGGCAUAGUACAGUGUGUGUAAUAUGCUGCGAUUGUGGUUUUUUAAAUGAUAUACUUGUAUACUGUAUGUUUUAAAACAUAUAUUCAUGAAACUCAAUUGAGAAUACUUAGGAAAUUGUUACUAAGAGCUUGCUGUGGAAGGGAGAGUUGAGGGUCUGGCUGGUAGAAAGACUACUUUUAUGCAGUAUUAAAAGAAAACUGUUGUUU